rnacentral:rRNA from 1 species
GACGAACGCUGGCGGCGUGCUUAAGACAUGCAAGUCGUACGAGAAAGCCUCUUCGGAGGUGAGUACAGUGGCGCACGGGUGAGUAACGCGUGGGUAAUCUACCCUUGAGUUUGGGAUAACCCCGGGAAACCGGAGCUAAUACCGAAUAAGACCACGACGACUUCGGUCGACGUGGGAAAAGGUGGCCUCUUCUUGAAAGCUAUCGCUUAUGGAUGAGCCCGCGUUUGAUUAGCUUGUUGGUGAGGUAACGGCUCACCAAGGCUCCGAUCAAUAGCUGAUCUGAGAGGAUGAUCAGCCACACUGGAACUGAGACACGGUCCAGACUCCUACGGGAGGCAGCAGUCGGGAAUAUUGGGCAAUGGGCGAAAGCCUGACCCAGCAACGCCGCGUGAAGGAUGAAGGCCUUAGGGUCGUAAACUUCUGUCGAG